rnacentral:lncRNA from 1 species
AGGAGGUUUUUGGUGCCCAACCUCUUCCUUGGUGCGGGCAGUGGCACGUGGGUUGUUUCGAAUGGCGGCGUGCCGGCGGUGGUGGCCAGCGUGGUGGCAGAAGGGUCUUGCCUCUCCAUUUCUGCCGAAACCUGGGGCAUCGAUGGUGCGACAGGGAAUCAUGGCGACGAUGGCGGGAAGUGGUGGCCGUUCGGGCGGGAGAAGGGAGGCAAAAUUUUAACUCCACGGUGCCGGGAGGGUAUAUUGCAGAGACUUGGCCUCACUUUCCGAGCCGAGGAGGAUAAUUUAUCCAACUCUAAAGGUGUUUAGGGGAUUGGUUAGAGAUGCUCUUAAUGGAGUAAGAUUAAUGGGAAAAUCUAACUGGUGGACGCAUGCAUGAGUGUCGUCCAGUGCAUCCAAUGCGUCGGCUCACACGUUGGGUUUUCUAGAAUUAAUGGUGGUUUAAUAAUGGUUUGCACAUAUUCAGCACAGGCCUCCAGAAGCCCCAGUGCAUAGCGUACGGCUAAAGCGUGCUGAUAAUGUCAAAAGAGGUCGGGAUAAACCAAACUUGACAUGGGAAGAGUCCGUAAAGAGAGAUUUGAAGGAUUGGAGCAUCACCAAACAACUAGCCAUGGACAGGGGUGCGCGGAAGCGUGCUAUCCAUGUGCCAGAACCAUGAGUUGGUCACGAGAUCUUAUGGGUUUCACCUCUAGCCUACCCCCAACUUGUUUGGGACUAAAGGCUUUGUUGUUGUUGUAACGGCGACUUAAUAAGAUGCAAUCCUUCUGCAUCUGCACGCUCUGUUUUAGAAUUAACGGUGGCUUAAUAAGAUGCAUACCUAUUCUCUGCAUCUGCACACUCUGAAGCUACAAGCUAGGCUACAGUGUACAAUCUACAGUACAAUACGCUAUAGGCCGGCUGCACUGCGCUACAGUGUGCUCUAGUACAUGGUUGAUAUGCAUGUGUUUAGACGGGCUCCUACAGUCUUUGUUUUCCAAUGGACCCUGUUAAAUACCUAGUAAUUUAGGAUAAUAUAUGAUUGCCAAGAUUUAAACCUUGCAACUAAGUAUUUUCCUUUUUUAGUGGUGCCGUGGAUUCUCCUUUAAUGUAGGAGUAUUUUGACAACAUUUUUUAAACAUUUUAGCAACAAGUAUAUGUGAUCUGACAACUAAGUUCUAUUUUUUAAAACUGGCAACUAAGUUCUUUAAGAAAAAAUGGCCAUCUAAUACCUUUAAACUUGCAAGUAAGUUUUAUUAAGAUUUAAAUUUGGCAACUAAGUCUUUUAGGAAAAAAAAUGGUCAUUGAGUACCUGUAAACAGGCAACUAAGUUAAAAUUAGUAACCAAGUUUUUAGGAAAAAAAUGGCCAUUGAGUACCUGUAAACUGGCAACUAAAUUAUUUGACAGUUAAGUACCUAUAAUCUGGUAACUAAGUACUCCCUCUGUAAACUAAUAUAGGACGUUUCAGAGACUUGUGUCAUCUGACAACCGAGUAUGUCGUAAUCUGGCGGCUAAGCAUGCUUAAUAAGGCAACUACUUGUAAUCUGACAACUAAUCACUUGUAAUCUGGUAAUUAAGUUAUUGUUAUUAGGAAACUAACUAAAAUUGAUACAAUUACUCAACAGAUGUACUAUGUAGCUAGCGGUGGGUUGUGAAUGGUGGCUGCUACAUUUACAGUAUCUUGCACAGCCACUGUAUGCUCUUUCUUUUCACUUACGAUGCCUUCCGUGCAUGCACUUCUGUUUGACUAAUUUUUUGCAUGCCGCCAACUCCAUGUUUUUCCUGGGGAUCACAUGCAUAAACUACAGGCCUACACGGACGCUGCAUGCCUGAGGGCUGAGGCAUACUAGCACUGACUAUUUUCAAUCGCGGGUACACAUGCGCACAAAAGCAAUUUGCUGGAGUGGUUGGUGGCCACCGCACAGGAGGGUACGCGUGCAGCGCUGCUACAUAUGUUAGACCUUUCAGCCUGAGCAUUGAUAGUUGUGGAUGACACUAGGAGAGUUGGGACAAUUUUCGUUGGUUUAUUUCUCACACAAUGCCAUGCCAACCUGAGGGGUUGGGGAUACAUAUUUAUAGGCUGCUAGCCAGCCAAGCAUAUGCUAAGAUGCUAGUCUAAGAUGCUGCUAAGAUGCUAGUAUAAGAUGCUAUCCUAACUGCCAGUCCUUGAUGGUCAAGGAUUCUAUCCUAACAGUCACAAGGACUAUGUGCUGCAGCCCCACAAAGGACCAUGUGCUGCAGCUCCACAAAGACCCUAGUACAUAGACUUAUCCAUCAUUCUCCCCCCAAGUCUUGUACGUCGUCUUGUGAAAGAGUCGAAUCAUCCCAAUCCCGGAGCAGAGUUCGAGGAACUUGAUCCUCCCAAGAGGCUUGGUGAGCAGGUCUGCGAGCUGGUCCGUGGUGUUGAUGUAGCUCGCCUCGAUGCUCCCUUCUUCCAAACAGCAGCGGAUGAAGUGAUACCUCAGUCGGAUGUGCUUGUCCCGUUCGUGGAAAACGGGGUUCUUUGCCAGGGCCAGGGCGGACUUGCUGUCCACCAGGAGUUGCACCGUUCUGGUGUCUCGGACGAGGAGAUCACCAAGCAGUCGAGCGAGCCAGAGCGCGUGAGUGCAGGCGGUGGAGGCCGCUAUGUACUCGGCCUCACAACUGGACAGGGCCACAACCUGCUGCUUGACCGAUUGCCAGCUCACGAGACACUUGCCGAGGAAGAAGAGGAUCCUGCUCGUGCUCUUGCUGGUGUCGAUGUCGCCGGCGUGAUCGCUGUACCCGGCGAAGUGUGCCGCCGCCGGACACCUAGGGUAGUGGAGGCCGUGGUCGAGGGUCCCUGCCACAUAGCGGAUGAUCCUCUUCACUGCAUGCUGGUGCUCCAACGUCGGUCGCUCCAUGAACCGACUGACAUAGCCGACGGAGAAUGCCAAGUCCAGCCGUGUGUGGGCGAGGUAGCGAAGGCUCCCCACAAGGCGUCGGUACUGCGUAGCGUCCACUUCCUCCGUCGUGCUGUCGCGGCUCAGUUUCAGCCUCUCCUCCAUCGAGUGAGAGUUGGGUGGCAGUCGGUGAGCCCAGCUAGCUCAACGAUGCGCUUGGCGUAGGCGGACUGUCGAAGCGCGAUCCCGGAGUGAUCCUGGUGCACCUCGAUCCCUAGAUAGAAGGAAAGGAGCCCCAGAUCACUCAUCUGGAAGGUGGCCUUCAUGUCUUCCUUGAACGCUGCCACCUCUGCAUCUUUGAUGCCGGUGAUCACCAAGUCGUCAACAUAGACGCCCACCAGCAAGGCAUUUCCUCCACUGCCCCGUCGGUAGACGACCGCCUCAUGCGGGCUUUGCUCGAAGCCCAUCUUCUUUAGCGUGGAGUCCAGUUUGGCGUUCCACGCCCUAGGUGCCUGUCGUAGGCCGUAGAGAGCCUUACGCAGGCGGACUACCUUGCCCUCCUGGCCGGGGAUCGCAAAUCCCGGUGGCUGAUGCACGUAGACUUCCUCCUUCAAGUCGUCGUUGAAGAAUGCCGACUUGACAUCCAUGUGAUGGACACGCCAGCCCUCCUGGGCAGCUAGCGCAAGGAGAAGUCGCACGGACUCCAUCCGUGCCACGGGAGCGAAAGCGUCGUCGAAGUCGACUCCUUCCUGCUGCAAGAAGCCUCGGGCCACCAAGCGAGCCUUGUGCUUGAUGAUGGCACCGGCUCCAUCCCUCUUCAGCUUGAACACCCACUUAAGGGUGAUUGCGCGGUGACCACGAGGGAGUUCAACGAGCUCCCAGGUGCGGUUCUGCUCGACCGCAUCCAUCUCCAACUGCAUCGCGGCGCGCCAUACCGCGUCUCUCUCGGCCUCUGCAAAGGAGUGAGGUUCGCCGUCCUCACACGCGAGUUGUAGCUGCGCCUCCAGGUCGCGUGGCACCAGUCCCGGCACCGGUUGGUCGCCGAGUAGAUUAUCCAUCGUACGAUACCGCAGCGGUUCGCCGCCAUGAUACGCGUCGAUGCGCUCCUCGUCGUGAGUGAGCGGGGAAGCGAACUUCAUCGGGUUGUGUUGUGCGUGAGCUGGUGCUGAUGAAGACGAGCCCGGAGUGGUGACUGCCGGGGCUGGAGUAUGCGGCGUCGCCGGUUGUGGUGCCGUCGGCGUAGCAGGCACCGGAGUCGAUGUAGUUUUGGGAGCUGGGGUAGACGUGCUUGGCGAAGAGGAGCUGCUUGCUCCCCCGGCUUCCUUGAAGUGGACGUACUCGACAACGAAGUCGUCAUACGUCGGCGUCGAGCCGUCGUCCACCGCCUUGUCCCAUUUCCACCCUCGCCCUUCGUUGAACACGACGUCUCGCGUCGUGCGCACACGCUAUGUCUUUGGGUCGAGGAUGCGGUAGGCCUUUGAGCCCUCCGCGUAGCCGAUGAAGACCCCCGGAGUACUCCUGUCGUUGAGCUUGCCGAUGUGGCCGAGCUCCUUGGCGAACGCAAGGCAGCCAAAGAACCACAAGUGGGAGACCGCCGGCUUCCGCCCAUGCCAGGCCUCGUACGGCGUCCUGCCAUCGAGUGCCUUAGUAGGCGAGCGGUUGAGGAUGUAGACGGCCGUUAGCACCGCCUCUCCCCAGAAAACAGCCGGCAUCCCUCUCUGCUUGAGGAGAGCCCGAGCGAUCCCCACUACCCUUUGGUUGCGCCGCUCGACGACGCCGUUUUGCUGCAGGCUGUACGACGCGUAGUGGCGCUGGAUGCCCUCAUCAGCGCAGUACGUCGCGAAUUCAGCCGCCGUGAAUUCGCCACCGUUGUCAGUGCGCAACACGCGCAGUUUGCUGCCGCACUCCGCCUCCACAGCAACCUGCGCACGCCUGAUGGCGUCCGCCGCCUCUCCCUUACUGCCAAGGACCAUCACCCACAUGUAGCGAGAGAGGUCGUCGACAAGCAGCAGGAAGUAGCGUCGACCUCCUGGUGUGGCUGGCGUCACCGGGCCGCACAGAUCUCCAUGCAUGAGCUCCAGCCUCUCCUUGGCCCGAAAACUCGCCUGCUGGGGAAAGGGGAGUCGUCUCUACUUCGUCAGCACGCAGAUGUCGUAGAACUGCUCCACAUGGUCGAGGCAUGGCAGGCCUCGCACCAUCUCCUUGGCACUUAGACGCUUCAGGGCCUCAAAAUGAAGGUGCCCAAAGCGCUCAUGCCAUUGCCACGCCUCGUCGUCCCGACGGACAGCAAGACAGACCGGUUGUGCCACCUACACAUCAAGGACGUAGAAUCGAUUUUCACCUCUGGGUACCUUGGCGAUCCCAGAUGCGUAGGACCCCAUGCUCAAUCAGCACGCGUGAGCCGUUCUCAUCUAGCUGUCCCAAGCUGAUGAUGGAGUUCCUUAGCACGGGGAUGUAGUAGACACCGGUGAGCAGUCGGUGCUCUCCCAUCUUCAUGGUGAAGAUGACGGAGCCGACGCCCUUAAUUUUCACAGCAGAGGCAUCGCCAAACUUGACGGAGCCUCGCGCGUCGGAGUCGAGCUCGGCGAAGAAUUACCUUCGAACGGUCAUGUGGUGGGUGGCGCCGGUAUCGAGGCACCACCCCGCAGUCUUGUCCUUCCCGGAGCCAUCGCUGAGAAGAGCGUGUGCUUUUGGCUCGUCGAGGUGGAGGAGAGCCUUUGCGACUGGUGUCGCUGAAGGUAGCUCGAUGCUUGCAUGCGCCAUGAACAGAGCCGUCUCCUCCUCCUCCGCCUGUGCGACGUGAGCCUGGCCUUGUCGUGGUUGUCGACACUCAUUGGACCAAUGGCCAAGCCGGCCACAGUUGUGGCAACUGUUGUCCUGUGCCGGCUUGGGCUUGCCAGCGGCGCCGUCCUUGGCGCCUCCGCGGGCGUCACCUUCGGCACGUCCUUGUGCCUUGCCCGGGGGGCCUCUUCGCGCCUUGCGCUGCUCGCGCCCACCCGGCAUGCCACCAAGGCUGGCAUCCCACUGCUCCCGAGUUAGGAGCAGCUUCCCACCGGUGGUGAUGGGCCCCGAGGGAGGUUGUGGCUCGUCGGUGUCGACGACCUUGAGGCGACCUAUCGCCUCCUCGAUCGUCAUCGUGGAGAGGUCCAGCAAAGACUCGAUCGAGCGAGCCAUCUGCUUGUACUUCUCGAGAAUGCACCGGAAAAGCUUCUCGACAGCUCUCUCCUCGGUGUAGGUGGCAUCGCCGAACUUCACCAUCUUCUGCAGCAGAGUGUUCAGACGGAGAGCAAAGUCAUCAACGUCCUCACCUGGCUUGAAGGCCAGGCUCUCCCACUCCUUACGAAGUGCCUGCAGUGUGCACUUGCGAGCACGGUCGCUGUCGAUGCGUGCCGCGAUGAUGGCGUCCCAAGCCUCCUUGGCAGUCCGCUUGUUGGAAAGCGAGAAUUACAUCUCGGGCGGGAGUGCGGCGAUGAGGGCGUCCAGCGCUCGUCGAUCCUCUUGGUGGUCGACGUUGCUGUCCUGGACUGCCUCCCACAGGCGCCGCACCUGGAGCCUGAUCUUCAUGAUCGCGGCCCACUCGACGUAGUUGGUUUUAGUGAGGGUAGGCCACCCAACACUGGGACCAACAUCCCUGACCACAAUCCGGACCUCGUAGAGGCCGCGGUCCUGGUCGUUGCAGCCGUCGUCGCCGUGCGCACCUCCACCUGGAGCGCGGGCGAGCUCGGCUGCACACUGCGUCGUCCGCUCUUGCGCCACUUUGGCACGGUCUGCGUCGGCGCCGUCGUCCGAAGGCGCGGAGCCGUUGGAGCUGCCAGAGCCGCCGCGGAGUGCCUUGGCAUCCGCCGUAGCCUCACGUGCUGCUCCGCUGCUGUUGUUGCUUCUACCUCCGCCCUGGCUGCUUCUACCUCCGCUCUAGCUGCUGGCAGCUCCGCUGCAGCCAGCCUCGACACCCUUGUUGCCGCAGCAACGGCUGCUACAGCUGCUCGCUCACGCUCCUCUUCCACGACGCGCUCGGCCUCCUGCCGGCGCCGUAUGCUCGAGGUAGCCGUGUGCUGAGAGCGACCAGCAUACAUGGCUCGCUGCAGGGGGGCUGUUGCGUGAAGAGGAGGUUGUUUCUGACGAGCUGCUGCUCGACAGUCCGGAGGGAGGGAGGUAACCAGGGGCAGUCGAAGCAGCUGCUGCUACCGGCUUAGGCUGCUCAGCUCCCGGUGAGAGAGGUCAGCAGGAAAUGCUCAGGGUAAAAGAUAAGAAGGCUCUGAUACCACUUGAUAGACCUUUGAGCCUGAGCAUUGAUAGUUGUGGAUGACACUAGGAGAGUUGGGACAAUUUUCGUUGGUUUAUUUCUCACCCAAUGCCAUGCCAACUUGAGGGGUUGGGGAUACAUAGUUAUAGGCUGCUAGCAAGCCAAGCAUAUGCUAAGAUGCUAGUCUAAGAUGCUAUCCUAACUGCCAGUCCUUGAUGGUCAAGGAUUCUAUCCUAACAGCCACAAGGACCAUGUGCUGCAGCCCCACAAAGACCCUAGUACAUAGACUUAUCCAUCAACGUAGUGGGACCCAAGAUUACUAUCAUGUGGUGCCUUCCUGCCUUGGGCUGAGCCGCCGAUCCACCAUGGAUACAGCAGCAGCCCCGGUAUCCUCAGACCCCUGUCGUCGCCGUCCAUGGUGGCACCACGCUCGGCAAGUGUUCGGCGUAAUGCCAUUGCCGGAAAAAAAAUGUGUGCUCGUUGUUUACUUUGAAGCAGCAAACACAAUGGAUUCGGACAAGGAGACUUCUAUAACGAGUGCAUGGAGUCAUCUUCGAUGGAUGAGGAGUUCAUGGGGUCGUCUUCGGUGGAUGCCAUUGGAACCAUUGGUUACCAGAAGUGCACGGCUGCAACGAGGAUGCUUGCCUAUGGCAUGGUUGCAGAUUCCGGGGACGAGUACCUCCGGAUGACCGAAAGCAAAUGCCUCCCGAUUUGAAAACUUUAUGUUUGGAUUGUACUGUUCUUAUUUGAAUUAUUGUUGCAUUAGAAUAUUUAUCUUUCCAUUGUUUGGGCGAGCCUCCGGCGUCCAGGUUAACUUCGCAAAGAGCACGGCC